GUUUGACGUUAGCUGCAGAAGAAGCACCGGCUAACUCCGUGCCAGCAGCCGCGGUAAUACGGAGGGUGCGAGCGUUAAUCGGAAUUACUGGGCGUAAAGCGCAUGCAGGUGGUUUGGUUUAAGUUCAGAUGUGAAAGACCCGGGGCGUCAACCUCGGAAUUGCAUUUGUAAACUAGGCAGACUAGAGUACUGUAGAGGGGGGUAGGAAGUUUCAGGUGUAGCGGUGAAAUGCGUAGAGAUCUGAAGGAAUACCGGUGGCGAAGGCGGCCCCCUCGGACAGAUACUGACACUCAGAUGCGAAAGCGUGGGGAGCAAACAGGAUUAGAUACCCCUGGUAG
rnacentral:rRNA from 1 species